rnacentral:lncRNA from 1 species
GUUUUGUGAGUGGAAUUAUCGACAUUAUUCUAAUUUAGCGAAAAUCAACAAUUUACACACUAGGAAUAAAAAAAACGGUUAAAAAAUGACACGGUACCAACUACCAUCAACUCUUAUUUUUGAUUUUCAUUUAUUCCACAUCAUUUUAUCAUAUUCCUUAUCAUCAUUCAUAAUAUUUUAAACUCAUCGAAAAAAUAAUCUAGUAUCGAAGUUCCAAAAACUGACACGCUAUCACGGACCCCAAAUUUCAACCUGAGUUCUUCAUCCAGGUCCACAACCCAUAUAGACUGUCAGAAGACCAAAUACUAGAAGUGACACUAAGCCAUACCAUCAACAGAACUAUCUAAAGGAAACACCGCAAACAAAUCAGUAAAUGCUCGGAAAUUUCGUAUUCAUGCGCUUCCAUUUUCCUUUCAAUAAAUGUCAAAGCGAAUGAAUUAUAUUCACGUACCAUUAUUUAUGUUGUUCCUUUCAAUAAUUCCAAUGAACCAUCAGUUGCUACUAAAACCAUAUCGUAAUGCAACAAUGUCGGAAUCGUGACGUUUGAGCCAAGUUCUAUUGUUAAUAAAGAGAAACUACAUUAGGAAAUUCAAUAUUUCGUAAUUUAUAGCACUAAUUUUGAUUACCUCGUCUUUUUUAUAAAAUAAAAAGUUAUAAUAAAAAGUUGAUACUUUUUAUUUAGCAAUAGACUCACUCAUGUUCAUCAGAACAAAAAUGACACCUAAACAAACCACCUGACAAGGCCUAACGUGGCUGUAGAGGUAAUACCGCUGCCAACUUCAUUCAAACGCAGAGAAAACAAACGCGCCAAACACACUAAUCCCGAAGCUCGCACAAUGUAAAUCUGCAUGAAUCUGUACACAACGCAGCACGUUCUAUAACACGAGGCGAUGUGCACGUGACUUUUGAUCUUAUUACAGAGAAGAUACGUUAUACAAUCACCCUGUAUAUAUUCCAGAUCGCGAUAUAUUUUCUUACAGUAUGACAAGAGGUUAGGACCAUGAGGAAGGGAUUGACGUCUAUAGGGCUAACAGUAGUAGAAAUUAAACCAUAUGGAUACAACAUCAUUGAAAAACUGUUGCGCCAACCCCACAUUCAAACGGGUUAAGGGCAAUUGGAGGAAGGAGUAAGGGAAAAAGCAUUUAACGGUCAGUUACGACUUCCCAUAUACAGUAGCAAUGACUUUGAAUUAAAAUCCAAAGAAAUGCGUCGCAUUGAACACUUCAUUUUCGGAAAUUAGAUAAGGCUCAUAAUGCCCAACCUAUCUUCACUAAACUGGAACGCUACAGUGCUUCAACACCAGAGACGCUUACGAAUUCGUGGAACCUAUCUAACAAUUUAGAAAAUAUACAAGAUUGGCACAUUUCUGAACAUUUACUGCUCGUGAAUACCAUGAUUGAACGCCAUCGAAGCAACAACGAUGUGAAAUGUUUAAACAGCCGAUCCGACUCGUUAUCGAAUGCCGCUGUUAUAUUCAAACUCGGAAAGCACAGCGGCAUCUUUGAAGAAAGAAACUAAGCUAUUUCAGUACUAGAAUGCCUGCGCUUAGCCCACCGAAUCACGAAUUACAGCCUACACACGACGCUUUUUUAAUCGAGCAGACGCGCUUUGAAAGAAAUAAAACGCAAAUUAAUCAUUUUAAAUUAGUAAUUUGAAGAAGCAAUGGGCUGGCCACAUACGUCGCAGAAUAGAUAACCGCUGGAGUAAGCGUGGAGUAGAGACCGCGUCUUAGCAAACGUAGCCUGGGACGCCCUCUGGCCAGAUGACUUACACAAGAGGGCCGGCAGCGACUGGAUGCAUAAAGAAAGAGACCAGGCACUGUGACGUACCUUGGAAGAGCCCUAUGUCCGGCAGAGGACUGCAACGGGCUAAUGAUGAUGCAAAUGCGAAGAAGUUUAAAUUAAUACUUUUACAUACAAACUGCGCCGAAACAAAGCAUCAGCAUCAAUCUUUAUCUCAACAACUUCGAUAUCAGCCACAUCAUAUUUAUAUUCCACUCACAUUUGUCGUAUUUUUCAACACCUAUGCAAUGCAUUGGCAUUAGCGAUGCACGCGUGUUGUUUUGGCCGCGUGCCGCGAUCUCUUACGCGAUGUUUGGGCAUGCUACAGUUUAAUCAUUGUUUUAGUUACAUAAUAAAUUAACUGCUUCUUUGACGAUAGCAGCUUCUGAAUCUUUCUUCCCAAAACUUCCCAAA